rnacentral:rRNA from 1 species
AACGAACGCUGGCGGCAUGCCUAACACAUGCAAGUCGAACGAGACCUUCGGGUCUAGUGGCGCACGGGUGCGUAACGCCUGGGAACCUGCCCUUAGGUUCGCAAUAACUCCCCGAAAGGGGUGCUAAUACCGGAUAAUGUCUUCGGACCAAAGAUUUAUCGCCUUUGGAUGGGCCCGCGUUGGAUUAGCUAGUUGGUAGGGUAAAAGCCUACCAAGGCGACGAUCCAUAGCUGGUCUGAGAGGAUGAUCAGCCACACUGGGACUGAGACACGGCCCAGACUCCGACGGGGGCAGCAGUGGGGAAUCUUGGACAACGGGCGAAAGCCUGAGCCAGCAAGGCCGCGUGAGUGAUGAAGGCCUUAGGGUUGUAAAGCUCUUUUACCCGGGAUGAUAAUGACAGUACCGGGAGAAUAAGCUCCGGCUAACUCCGUG